GCAUCGGUGGUGCAUGGUGCACACCUCCUGAAAAUGAUCCGACAUGAAAUAACUUUGAACGGAGGCGAACGGGGAUCGACUCCCCGCCGGUGCA